rnacentral:lncRNA from 1 species
AUAAAAUAAUAAGUUAAAAUCUUACUUUAGUAUUUCUUAAUUGCAAAUGCAAAAUCAAUCCUUCCUUUGAUUCAUUUGCAAAUGCAAAAUCAAGAAAUCGUCUAAUUCCAUCUAUGUAUCCUUUACUUAAUCUAGAGCAAUACAUCCAACUUUUAUCUAUCAUCUUUAUAGAACUACUCAAAUUCAUUGAAAAAAAAUUAUUGAAAAGUAAAUCUACUUAUGAUAAUUGUACAAAUUAUCUAGUUUUCUUAAUAAAGACAUAUAAAUUAUAUAUUUAUCUUAAUAAAGACAUAUAAAAUAUUUGCAUGCAUAUUAAAGUAUUCAAAGGUGUUAAUAUACAUAUAAUAAAUAUGGAGGCCAUGCUUUUACUAAUAUGUUUUUAUAGAAAAUGCUAAUAAACUUUCAAUCUUUGAUUGAAAACAAAGAUUCUUAGUUUAUUUAUUUAUGAUUCACAUAACACAAUGGUUUAACUUUCUUUAAGUCAAUUUAUUUUCACACUAUGCCAGUUGCGUGCUUACAUUAGGGGUUAUUUGAACCUUGUAUCAUGAAAUUUUUUUUGACCCACGAGAUUGAAUAAGCAUGGUGUAAUGAUGUGAGAUAAAGCCACCAUAAAAUCUUCAUUUUUUGGGUGAAGAUAAGCACUAUCAUAGAGUUUAUCACAGAGUUUCUUUAAGUCAUCC